GUUGAGCCUAAGGGCUGGCCCAAUAAGGGAAAAAGAGAUCCUAAGUCUGCCCUCACACUUACUUCCCCUUACUCUUCAGAUUUUCGCAGUCGUCAAACCUUUCUUUUCGCAACCAGAAGCUCUGCUAGGGUUUAACCCCGACCCCGAUCCCGUGAGCCCAGCCUCGUCUCCUUGAUUCGUCCUGUUUAUCUGUCCCGGGAGCUGUCGCGUCCUCGCUGUUGGAGUCGAACCUUUCCUCUAGCUAUUUCCAGAUAGGGGAACUGUUGGCAGAGGUGAUGAUGAUACGGAUGGUACCGCUUGAUGGACUGGACGGGCAUUGGGCCCAUUAUGGGGCCCAUCGCUGAAGAAUGUUUUGUUUUGCUAUGUUUUCUUAUCUGUACAAGACUCGUACUAUUAGUUCACUUGCGUUUUUUUGUUUUAGGCCGUGUGGGGUCUCUUUUAUGUUUUGUGGAUAUGUUGGGGUAUGGAGUACUUCAUAUUCCAAAGCUUCGUACCCUCUGAAUAUUAUGUAUGUGGUGUUUUAAUUAAAUGGGCUUUAUCGAUUUA